GAAUGCUACAGCUCUUUUAGGAUUUGUCUAGCAUUAUUUCCUGUCUUUACUGGAAACCU
ensembl:snRNA U7 U7 small nuclear RNA